rnacentral:piRNA from 1 species
UUCUUUGCAGUGCGUGCUCAACAGCCCCAGC